rnacentral:rRNA from 1 species
GAUGAACGCUGGCGGCGUGCCUAAUACAUGCAAGUCGAGCGAACAGAUGAGAAGCUUGCUUCUCUGAUGUUAGCGGCGGACGGGUGAGUAACACGUGGGUAACCUACCUAUAAGACUGGGAUAACUCCGGGAAACCGGGGCUAAUACCCGAUAAUAUUUUGAACCGCAUGGUUCAAUAGUGAAAGACGGUUUCGGCUGUCACUUAUAGAUGGACCCGCGCCGUAUUAGCUAGUUGGUAAGGUAACGGCUUACCAAGGCGACGAAACGUAGCCGACCUGAGAGGGUGAUCGGCCACACUUGAACUGAGGCACGGUCCAGACUCCUACGGGAGGCAGCAGUAGGGAAUCUUCCGCAAUGGGCGAAAGCCUGACGGAGCAACGCCGCGUGAGUGAUGAAGGUCUUCGGAUCGUAAAACUCUGUUGUUAGGGAAGAACAAAUUUGUUAGUAACUGAACAAGUCUUGACGGUACCUAACCAGAAAGACACGGCUAACUACGUGCCAGCAGCCGCAGUAA